GCAUUAAUGGGGUAGUGGUAACCUGGGUCGUUGCCACGGUGUGAAUUGUAUUAUGUGAUACUAAUUCGACCCGCCGGGGGUUCGAUUCCCUCUUAAUGCA